UACGUAGGGCGCAAGCGUUGUCCGGAAUCAUUGGGCGUAAAGAGCUCGGUAGGCGGCCCGUUGCGUCCGCUGUGAAAUCCCGGGGGCUUAACCCCGGGCGUGCAGUAGGAUACCGGGGCUGGCUGGAGGCAGGCAGGGGAGAACGGAAUUCCCGGUGUGAGCGGUGAAAUGCGCAGAUAUCGGGAGGAACACCGGUGGCGAAGGCGGGUUCUCUGGGCCCUGUACUGACGCUGAGGAGCGAAAGCGUGGGGAGCGAACAGG
rnacentral:rRNA from 1 species